UACGUUCCCGGGCCUUGUACACACCGCCCGUCAAGUCAUGAAAGUCGGUAACACCCGAAGCCGGUGGCCUAACCGUAAGGAAGGAGCCGUCGAAGGUGGGAUCGGUGAUUAGGACU
rnacentral:rRNA from 1 species